AUUGAACGCUGGCGGCAUGCCUUACACAUGCAAGUCGAACGGCAGCGGGGGAGAAGCUUGCUUUUCCUGCCGGCGAGUGGCGAACGGGUGAGUAAUACAUCGGAACGUGCCCUGUAGUGGGGGAUAACUAGUCGAAAGAUUAGCUAAUACCGCAUACGACCUGAGGGUGAAAGUGGGGGACCGCAAGGCCUCAUGCUAUAGGAGCGGCCGAUGUCUGAUUAGCUAGUUGGUGGGGUAAAGGCCUACCAAGGCGACGAUCAGUAGCUGGUCUGAGAGGACGAGCAGCCACACUGGGACUGAGACACGGCCCAGACUCCUACGGGAGGCAGCAGUGGGGAUUUUUGGACAAUGGGCGAAAGCCUGAUCCAGCAAUGCCGCGUGUGUGAAGAAGGCCUUCGGGUUGUAAAGCACUUUUGUCCGGAAAGAAAUGGCUCUGGUUAAUACCUGGGGUCGAUGACGGUACCGGAAGAAUAAGGACCGGCUAACUACGUGCCAGCCGCCGCCGUAAGAC
rnacentral:rRNA from 1 species